rfam:Aedes aegypti strain Liverpool supercont1.265 genomic scaffold, whole genome shotgun sequence.
GCCGCUGGAGUCGUGAGCCGUGUCUUUUGGAGAUGGCAAGUACUGAAAACCCAAGCGGAUGGGAAUUGCCCCGUUCUUCCAGGUCAACGUGUUCUUCUAUGCCAAUGGAAUGGUGUUCUUCUAUGCCAAAAUGAAGCACCGCAGGAACUACAA